GAGGAAGAGCCGGACGGCGGUUACGCCGCAAACCCCGCCAGGUCUGAAAGGAAGCAACGGUAACGGCAGUGCCGGGUGUCCGGCUUUUCCUUCCC
rnacentral:SRP_RNA from 1 species